CACGUAGGGGGCGAGCGUUGUUCGGAAUUACUGGGCGUAAAGGGCAUGUAGGCGGUCUUGUAAGCCUUACGUGAAAGGCUAUGGCUCAACCAUGGCACUGCGUUGGGAACCGCGAGACUAGAAUCACAGAGAGGGAGCUGGAAUUCCAGGUGUAGGGGUGAAAUCUGUAGAUAUCUGGAAGAACACCAGUGGCGAAGGCGAGCUCCUGGCUGAUGAUUGACGCUGAGGUGCGAAAGUGUGGGGAUCAAACAGGAUUAGAGACCCUGGUAGUCCACACUGUCAACGAUGUGCACUAGGUGCCGGGGCGGACGCUUCGGUGCCGGAGCUAACGCGGUAAGUGCACUGCCUGGGGAGUAUGCUCGCAAGGGUGAA
rnacentral:rRNA from 1 species